UUGAACGCUGGCGGCAGGCCUAACACAUGCCAGUCGAGCGGAUGAAGGGAGCUUGCUCCUGGAUUCAGCGGCGGACGGGUGAGUAAUGCCUAGGAAUCUGCCUGGUAGUGGGGGAUAACGUCCGGAAACGGGCGCUAAUACCGCAUACGUCCUGAGGGAGAAAGUGGGGGAUCUUCGGACCUCACGCUAUCAGAUGAGCCUAGGUCGGAUUAGCUAGUUGGUGGGGUAAAGGCCUACCAAGGCGACGAUCCGUAACUGGUCUGAGAGGAUGAUCAGUCACACUGGAACUGAGACACGGUCCAGACUCCUACGGGAGGCAGCAGUGGGGAAUAUUGGACAAUGGGCGAAAGCCUGAUCCAGCCAUGCCGCGUGUGUGAAGAAGGUCUUCGGAUUGUAAAGCACUUUAAGUUGGGAGGAAGGGCAGUAAGUUAAUACCUUGCUGUCUUGACGUUACCAACAGAAUAAGCACCGGCUAACUUCGUG
rnacentral:rRNA from 1 species